GUUCCAUUCAACUAGCCAAUCACAACUUGCAUUUCCUUAAAUGGAAAAGUUUGUGCAGGCAACACCCAAGAGUCAAGAAAGAUGCCAGUUUUAGUGUCUUUUUGCUGCAAGUCAUCAAACAUGGAGCGGCUUCACAUUCUUCUUGUCCUUCUUUUAGGUAAUACUUUAGUACUUUUAAUAAACAAUAUAUUAUACUGAUUCUAUUUGUCAAUCUACAUUUACUUCUGUACUCAACAGCUACAAGCAUUUAGUAUGAAAAGAAACACUGCCCACAUUUGCUAUUGUGUUUGUAUUUCAGGACAUCGUUGGAUUUUUGGCUCAGUGGUGAAUGUGACAGUGAGAUCAGGAGAAAACAUUACUCUGUACUGUGACUGUAAAAUAUUGACUGAUGAAAUUAUUAUGUGGUACAGAAACUGUACACAUGAAAAUCAGCCUCCUCUUGUUCUAGAAAAAGAAAAGGAUCCGUUCAAACCCACCAGUGGCCGUGCCACUCUAGUGAAUUUUCUACCUCGCUUCCAUUUUGUAGAAAACCAGUCCGCUAGUUCCUAUGAUCUGCUGAUCAUGAAUAUUUCUGAUUCUGAUGAGGGCCUCUAUUACUGUGGAACUGAGCAGUCACAAUCAGUGGGUGGAAAUAAACACAAAUAUAUUUAUGGAUAUAGCAAUGCUACAACACGGAUCCGAUUCAACUCCAGUGACCAAAUUUCAACUGAUCACCCAACUCUACAAGAGUGCAGCAUAUGUUGGAAGCUGCUGUUCGUCCUGUGUCCAACUUUUGCUGUUCUGUCCUCUCUUCUUGUCUCCCUUCUUGUUCAUCGCCUCUGCCAGAAAACAGAUGAUCAGCAGAGAUUUGAAACUAGUGGCAGAACAAGAAGGAAUCAGGAUGAAGAUGUGUUUUAUGCUACAAUGGAAACCCGUCAAGCAGCACACAGAUCAAAGAAGAUAACCGAUAGUUCUGACAUCUGCACCUAUUCUGCUAUCAACACCUCUGGCAUAUAGAUUUAACAAUAUUUCAUUUUGUGAAUUUGUCAGCAUUCUUAGCUUUACCACAAGAAUUGACAGGCGCUGGCCUUUUGGCCUUAUGGAGGAAUUACCUCACUGAAAGAUGAAGCAACUUGAUUAUGUGCACAUAACAUAAUUAGUAACAUUGCAAUAGGCCUGUGCUGCUGGAGUGUUUCUUCUUAACUAAACUUUUUUCACUCUCUGUGUUUGUACAACACUUUGCAUUUAGUCAUUUGUUAUUAUUAAUCCCUGGCUCUCUUACAGUGUGUCUUUUUUCCUGUCUUCCUCACCUUGUAUCCUACUGGUUGUGCCAGAUUGUUCCCCCCCACCCCAAACCUGGUUCUGCUUGAGCUUUUUCCCUAUUAGGGGAAUUUUGCCUUCCUACAUUAGUGCUUGCUCAUAGAAAGUCAUCUGAUUUUUUUUGUGUUUUCUCUGCAUUAUAGAAGUGUCUUUACCUUACAAUGUAAAGUGCCUCGGUUUGUUUGGCACCAUGUAAAUAAAUUUGAAUUGAAUACUAAAAUGUGAUUUUAUUUGUGAUGUGACACUGUUUGCAGUGUCUGUUGUUUUGUGGUAUAAUUAGUAGUACAAGUAAUAAACAUGAAAAUGAACAUAUAC
ensembl:lncRNA